UUCGAUCUCAUUUCGGAACUGAUAACAAUUCUCGGUAUCAUGGCCGUGAUCCCGGUGAAAACGGCAAUACUUCCGGAGAUCACGCCGGAUUCUGGUGUCUGGCUUUGGAGGGAGAAGCCGGAUGCAAUCCCGACUCUCAAUCUCCAUGAGGAUUUCAGCCCGAGGAGCAUUGAGGGGAGUAUACUCUUCAUACCUCCCUUCAGGUGCACGGGCCUGCAGUGGGAACCUCGGGCGGAGUGACCUCUGCUGCGGCGGUCCUCUCAACCGGGGUGGACUCUUCGGGCGGGGCGGAUUCUUAGCUCGUCGUGGAGACGGGCUUCUGGGUCGGCCG
rnacentral:lncRNA from 1 species